AUUGAACGCUGGCGGCAUGCCUUACACAUGCAAGUCGAACGGCAGCGGACCUUCGGGUGCCGGCGAGUGGCGAACGGGUGAGUAAUAUAUCGGAACGUACCUUUCAGUGGGGGAUAACGUAGCGAAAGUUACGCUAAUACCGCAUAUUCUGUGAGCAGGAAAGCAGGGGAUCGCAAGACCUUGCGCUGAUUGAGCGGCCGAUAUCAGAUUAGCUAGUUGGUGAGGUAAAGGCUCACCAAGGCGACGAUCUGUAGCGGGUCUGAGAGGAUGAUCCGCCACACUGGAACUGAGACACGGUCCAGACUCCUACGGGAGGCAGCAGUGGGGAAUUUUGGACAAUGGGCGCAAGCCUGAUCCAGCAAUGCCGCGUGAGUGAUGAAGGCCUUCGGUUGGUAAGACUCUUUCGUCCCACGACGAUGAUGACGGUAGUGGAGAAGAAGCCCGGCUAACUUCGUGCCAGCAGCCG
rnacentral:rRNA from 1 species